rnacentral:rRNA from 1 species
GACGAACGCUGGCGGCGUGCCUAAUACAUGCAAGUCGAACGCUUCUUUCCUCUCCAGUGCUUGCUCUCUAUUGGAACGAGGAGUGGAGGACGGGUGAGUAACACGUUGGUAAUCUACCCAUUAGAGGGGGAUAACACUUGGACACAGUUGCUAAUACCGCAUAACAGUUUAUGCCGCAUGGCAUCAGAGUGAAAGGCGCUUUCGGGUGUUGCUGAUGGAUGGACCCGCGGUGCAUUAGCUAGUUGGUUGGGUAACGGCUCACCAUGGCCGUGAUGCAUUGCCGACCGGUGAGGGUGAUCGGGCACUCGGGGAUUGAGAGACGGCCCAGACACCUAGGGGAGGCAGCAGUAGGGAAUCUUCGACAAUGGGCGAAAGUCUGACCAAGCGACGGCACGUGAGUGAAGAAGGUCUGCGGGUCGUAAAACUCUGUUGUUAGUGAAGAACAAGGACGUUAGUAACUGAACGUCCCCUGACGGUAUCUAACCAGAAAGCCACGGCUAACUACGUG